ncrna:Ornithorhynchus anatinus (platypus) microRNA oan-mir-106 precursor
CUUGGUUGUGCAAAAGUGCUUACAGUGCAGGUAGCUUUUAGUACCUACUGCAAUGUAAGCACUUCUAGCAUUACCAU